UACGGGGGGGGUAAGCGUUGUUCGGAAUUACUGGGCGUAAAGGGCUCGUAGGCGGCCAACUAAGUCAUACGUGAAAUCCCUCAGCUUAACCGGGGAACUGCAUCUGAUACUGGAUGGCUUGAGAUUGGGAGAGGGAUGCGGAAUUCCAGGUGUAGCGGUGAAAUGCGUAGAUAUCUGGAGGAACACCGGUGGCGAAGGCGGCAUCCUGGACCAACACUGACGCUGAGGAGCGAAGGCCAGGGGAGCAAACGGG
rnacentral:rRNA from 1 species